CUGCUUUCCUGUGGUCUCAGUGACAGAAACCUGUUCCUUCAGUGGCAUAAGGCCAUGGACACAGAUUGGAAGACAAGCAGCAACAUGAGGACUCUUGCUGACUGGUCAGGAUAAAGUUUUUGGCCAGCUGCACUGUUGUGUGAAAAUAAUAUUUGGAGAAAGAUGGCAGAACACACUGAAUAAUAAUACACGACCUUCAAGAAUAAAUUGUCUCCAACCCCUGUGGGGACACAGGAGUUGGCUAAAGUCUCUUCAUUACCUAUAUAAAGUAAUUAUUUUGUGGCUCUUGGGAAUGUCAGAAAAGCAUCUUUCCCGUUCUUCCACCUCAGACCCCUGUGUUCAUGUGGAUGCACAGCCAUGGCAGGAGGUGAUAAAAGUGACUUGAGCUUUACCCAGGGCCCCAGAGGAUGGAGCUGUGUGCCACGGAGGGGCAGGCACAUGCCUUGCUGCUGAGUCCACAGGCAAUAUUUCAUGUGACCUUCCCUGGAGGAUUUAGCCUAGAAGAAAACCCCUCCAGAGUUUAAUUGAUCCCUCCUUAACUCUCAUAUCGAGCCUUAUACAAAGAAAAUUAGAGCAGACACCAAGCUCUGUAUUGCAGUGUGAUGGUUAGGAGCCACAGAACCAAAAUAAUCUUUCAGGUUGCUCCACUAGGAUGGCAUCAGAAAAGGAUUUUUGCCACACUUUCAGCUACAACAAGCAAAUCAGCUGAGUUCUGAUUAGACGUUUUACCUCUGGCUUCAGUACUUGCUACAGGUAAAACAAUCACCAGACUUUUGUUCUGUUUUAAAUUACAGUCUAGGCAUUUAUUUUAGUCUAAUACUUGGGGUAGAUUAGGCAUUAAUGGAGCACCAAUGGAUUAACAUCCCCUGCAAUUGUCCAUGCAGGCAAACCUCCCUGUCUGCAUUGCCUGAGAGCACUGUCGGGGCAGGGAUGAUCUCACCCUGUCUGCAUUUUGAGCUGACCAGGCACCAUAUGGAUGCAGUUACUGCUGUGCCCUAGUGAGAGACGUGGCAUAUCAGCUUGGGGCAACAUCUGACAUUUACCAUGUCUUCCAGUUGGCUUGAAGCACGGGCAGAAUGAGCCUGGUGUCUGUCUCAGUGUGAACAUUGCCUCCGCCUGAACGAUAUUGCGCAAAACUGUGCGUGAAAGACUUGCAAAGUGAUUUUGUGAAAUUGUUAUAAAGUGAAACACUCUCAGUAAUAUCAAAUUACCCCUAUUAGAGCUGCAGCUUGAGUAGGUUAUGUAUGAUCAAGAAGCACCAAUUCAAGUUCUCUUGUCCCUGAUUUUCUAUAAACACUGAUUUUUGUAGUCUCCCACUGCUGGCAUAGAUUUUGACUAGUGUCACAUCUUGCAAAA